GGCCGUUGCCGCGGCCGUUGCCGCGGCCGUUGCCGUUGCGCGCGCGCCGCCUCGGGCGGAGGCGGGAGCCGGCAGGCAUUUAUAGUGUGCUCCACCGUUGCAGAGGAAACAUGGAUCUAUUAACUUAUAACCUCUCAGGACAGUUGGAGUUGCUGCUUCGUGCACUUCAAAGACAAGAAUCCGGUGGCUAAUUUGUAGGUGAAAUUUGUGUUCGAAACCACUGAAAACUGUGGGAAAUAUCUGGAUUGCCAAGUCAGAAAGCAGAAGUGCCCAGAAGCUCAGAGAAGAUUUGGGUCCUACUGGACAAGCAUCAUUAUACCUACCAUUACAUCUUUGCAAAAGUUAAGUAAUCAUGUCCUGGUGACACUUGGAUCUACAUGAAACUGUGGUCAAAUGUCAUGUUCUCUCAGAAAACUUACAAGCACAUCUGCAUGGAAGAAUCCCUACUUCUUCUUCAGACUACUCAGAGCAAAUUUGAUAUAAAAACGACCCUCCCAGAGAGAGGAAGAAGAGCGAUCCUGCGACUCCGCACUAGGUGCGGGCACCAGGAGCCCGAGGUGCUGCGAGCGGCCGGCAGCGCGCAGGAAGGGCCGCAGCGCUACCGCCCGGCGCCUAGGGCCUCCGCUCGCUGGCGGCGGCACCGGCCCGCGAAGCCCCAGGGCCCGGGCGAGCCGCCACCCCUCCGCGAGCAGGGCAGGCCCCAGCGGGACUCAGGAUCAGGGCCGGCCGGGCCGGGCCGGGCCGGGCCAGCCGGAGCCGCCGCGGGCGCGGGACUUACCCGCCAUUUCCGAGCGGAGCCGGCAGCCGAGUCACCCGGGCAGAACGAAUCAACCCGCGCGCCCACUCACCGGAAAUGAGAACACACACAAGCACUUCCGCUUCCGGCCGCUGAAAUAUGGCGCGGGGCGGGGCGGGGCGAACAGCGCACCUGUCAGAGUCGCCCAGCACGCGGGCGCGCAUGCUCAGCACCGCCCCCCCCACUCCUUCCGCCCGCGGAAGCCCUUAAGAAGCUCAACCGCGCUGCUGCUCGUCUGUGUAGUCGCGCGCCCGGCCCCGUGCGCGUGCCCCCG